rnacentral:rRNA from 1 species
GAUGAACGCUGGCGGCGUGCCUAAUACAUGCAAGUCGAGCGAACGGACGAGAAGCUUGCUUCUCUGAUGUUAGCGGCGGACGGGUGAGUAACACGUGGAUAACCUACCUAUAAGACUGGGAUAACUUCGGGAAACCGGAGCUAAUACCGGAUAAUAUUUUGAACCGCAUGGUUCAAUAGUGAAAGACGGUCUUGCUGUCACUUAUAGAUGGAUCCGCGCUGCAUUAGCUAGUUGGUAAGGUAACGGCUUACCAAGGCAACGAUGCAUAGCCGACCUGAGAGGGUGAUCGGCCACACUGGAACUGAGACACGGUCCAGACUCCUACGGGAGGCAGCAGUAGGGAAUCUUCCGCAAUGGGCGAAAGCCUGACGGAGCAACGCCGCGUGAGUGAUGAAGGUCUUCGGAUCGUAAAACUCUGUUAUUAGGGAAGAACAUAUGUGUAAGUAACUAUGCACAUCUUGACGGUACCUAAUCAGAAAGCCACGGCUAACUACGUG